ACCGGGAGUGGUGGUGUACUUCUGUAAUCAAAAUAUUUGGUGGUUAGGUAAAGAGGAUGUUUUAGGGGCGGGAAUUCGGGGAUCGGAUUUUCCAGGGUUUACUAGGCGUCCGCUAGGGGGAUGAAUCUUCAACUUGGAUGCCUUGGGGAGGGAGCCCGAGGUUGAGAAUCGUAAGUUCAAAUCCUGGGAAUGGGGGGAGUUCAAUUUCGGCUCGUUCAAACAAGAACAGAUCUGUACCUAA
rnacentral:SRP_RNA from 1 species